GCCCAUGGAUACUAAGCAGCAGGCAGUAAUGCACCCUGGAGUCUCUGAUACAGGCUGCAGCCUGAAGACGGAGCCUAAUGUGUCACUGGAGAAGCCAGUUCAGAUUACAGCCAGAGCCUGCACCCGCAUUCAGCUGACAUGUCUAGGCCAUAGAGUCUCUAGACAACAAUUGUCAGGGAAUGGGGUUUUCUGACACUGGAAACGGAGAUCAAAUAUCAAAGCCAGCCUAGGGAGACCAGCCAGCCAAAGACAGCCUGACCUGGGAUGAUCAUACCUGCUAUAGCUGCCUAGGGUGUUUUCUAGGGCGAGUCGCAGAGCAGGUCGACUGGAGGAAUGUGCGAGCCACACGCCCCCUGCCAAUCCUGGCCCCUCAUCCCAGCCAAGGGAAAGAACAGGAGGCAGAGGAGAUAAAUGAAGAGAACGCAGAGUUGGCUCUGAGUGAGACUGUUGGUGGCAUCUGCAGUCCAGUUUAUGAAUCUGAAGUUCUAUGCCUAGCUCUGCCACAGAUGUCUUGAGUGACACUGGGUCAAGUCACUUCCCUUCUUUCUGCCUCAGUUUCUCUUAUCUGUGAAAUAGGGACAGUACUUUCCCAUCUCUCGUGGAGGUUGUGAGGCUAAGCUUAUUAACACUAGUAAAGUACUUUGAGACCCUCACAUAGGCAGU